CUGGAAAGCUCUGAGCAACUCAGCUGGUGGCAAACUCCUUCCUGCCCCUUGAGAACACCUGGGAUGCUCCACAGAAUUAGAAGUCCCUAACUUCCCACAGCUGAGGGGACACCCAGAACAAGAGCCUUUGGUUAUAUAGAGGGAUAUUAAGCUGGCCUGCUUUUCCUGAGGCAGGUCAUGGUAUGGUCUUGAUCUCCUUCAGGCUUGCCCUAAGACUGCAGCCUUAAACCCAAGGGUUUAUAACAGGAGAGCUGUGCUGUUCUCCUGCAUCCCUUCUGGAGCUCCACUGGAUUUGGUUGUGACCUUGCAGUUUGGGGCUGUGAUCUUCCUGGUGAUAACCUCAUCAUCUCGCCUUGGCCUGUCCCUAAAGGGUCUGUUCCAGGGACACAUUUUCUCAGCUAUCCCCUCCUCCUUGCACACAGACUUGUUGUUCCAAGUUUCGCUUCAUUUUUGAAGGUGGCAGUACAGAGAGCCGAUGUAUGGAAUAUUUUCUUCCUCCAAUGUCUUCGUGGAUCUUCCCCCAAGCCUUAUGUUGGUGUUUCCCAGCUGCCCGGGUUUCUCAUGCAGAUGAGCCCUGCAAAACGGUUUCCUCCUGCACCCUCUUAGGACAAAGGCUCAGUUGUUGUUUUCUGUUGAUAAACUGGACAUUUAACUGCUUCGUUUCCCCUCCUCUACAGCAGAAUUAGUCGGGGGUAUUUGCUCAGGCCCCAAUCCCUGGGAUUGCUGGGGGACAAUCGCUCAAGAGGUUCCGAUUUAGAAACCAAUGAAUGUCAAGCUGAGCCUCUGAACUAAACUUUCUUUGAGAUGAGCCAGAGUGACCUGCAGCGAGCUCUAAAGAAGAGUGCAAUGACCCCCCCUCCCCUUCCCUUCUCG